GACGAACGCUGGCGGCGUGCUUAACACAUGCAAGUCGAACGGAAAGGCCCUGCGUUUGUGGGGUGCUCGAGUGGCGAACGGGGGAGUAACACGUGAGUAACCUGCCCUUGACUGUGGGAUAACUUCAGGGAACUGGGGCGAAUACCGGAUAGAAGCUCCUGCUGCAUGGGGGUGGUUGGAAAGAGUCGGCGGUGGGGGAUGGACUCGCGGCUUAUCAGCUUGUUGGUGGGGUAGUGGCUUACCAAGGCUUUGACGGGUAGCCGGCCUGAGAGGGUGACCGGCCACAUUGGGACUGAGAUACGGCCCAGACUCCUACGGGAGGCAGCAGUGGGGAAUCUUGCACAAUGGGCGGACGCCUGAUGCAGCAACGCCGCGUGCGGGAUGACGGCCUUCGGGUUGUAAACCGCUUUCGCCUGUGACGAAGCGUGAGUGACGGUAAUGGGUAAAGAAGCACCGGCUAACUACGUG
rnacentral:rRNA from 1 species